GAUGAACGCUGGCGGCGUGCCUAAUACAUGCAAGUCGAGCGAACAGACGCGGAGCUUGCUCCUCUCACGUUAGCCGAACGCGUGUGUGUAACACGUGGAUAACCUACCUGUAAUACUGGGAUAACUUCGGGACACCGGAGCUAAUCCCGUAUAAUAUAUUGCACCGCGUGGUUCAAUGGUGAAAGACGGUUUUGCUGUAUGUUCUAGAUGGAUCCGCGCCGCAUUAGCUGGUUGGUAGGGUAACGGCUUACCAAGGCAACGAUGCGUAGCCGACGUGAGAGGGUGAUCGGCGACACUGGAGCGGAGACAGGGUCCAGACUCCUACGGGAGGGAGCAGAAGGGAAUCGUCCGCAAUGGGCGAAAGUCUUACGGAGCAACGCCGCGUGAGUGAUGAAGGCGUUGGGUGCGUAAAACUCGGUUAUGAGGUAUGAACAAAUUUGGAAGUAACUAUGGACGGCGUGACGGUACCUAAUCAGAAAGCAACGGCUAACUACGUG
rnacentral:rRNA from 1 species